rnacentral:rRNA from 1 species
CGGGGUGCACCAGGCGCGAAAACUCUACAAUGCAGGCAACUGCGAUAGGGGAACAUCGAGUGAUCCUCAUAUUGGGGGUCUGUCCACCCGUCUAAAAAACGGGUGUUAGCAAGGGCCGGGCAAGACCGGUGCCAGCCGCCGCGGUAAUACCGGCGGCUCGAGUGGUGGUCGAUAUUAUUGAGUCUAAAGGGUCCGUAGCCGGCUUUGCAAGUCUCUCGGGAAAUCCAGCGGCUUAACCGUUGGUCGUCCGGGGGGUACUACAUUGCUUGGGACUGGGAGAGGUAGGAGGUACUCAGGGGGUAGGAGUGAAAUCCUGUAAUCCUUUGGGGACCACCGGUGGCGAAGGCGUCCUACCAGAACAGGUCCGACGGUGAGGGACGAAAGCUAGGGGCACGAACCGGAUUAGAUACCCGGGUAGUCCUAGCCGUAAACGAUGCUCGCUAGGUGUCACAACAGUCGUGAACUGUUGUGGUGCCGUAGGGAAGCCGUGAAGCGAGCCACUUGGGAAGUACGACCGCAAGGUUGAAACUUAAAGGAAUUGGCGGGGGAGCAC